UACCAGCACCCCGAGUGGUCGGGACGUUUAUUGGGCCUAAAGCAUCCGUAGCCGGUUCUACAAGUCUUCCGUUAAAUCCACCUGCUUAACAGAUGGGCUGCGGAAGAUACUACAAGACUAGGAGGCGGGAGAGGCAAGCGGUACUCAGUGGGUAGGGGUAAAAUCCUCUGAUCCAUUGAAGACCACCAGUGGCGAAGGCGGCUUGCCAGAACGCGCUCGACGGUGAGGGAUGAAAGCUGGGGGAGCAAACCGG
rnacentral:rRNA from 1 species